rnacentral:tRNA from 1 species
GCCCACGUAGUUCAAUGGAUAGAACGUUCGUUUCCUAAACGAAUGAUCCAAGUUCGAUUCUUGGCGAGGGCA